UACCAGGCUUGGCUGGCUCCAAAGGGGCCCAAGUUUCAAGUGAAUGUGAAGACUCAAUUAUGCUGAACGGAGCAAGUCACCUGGCAUCAUGGGGCUGAUUAUCCAGAAGCCUGGGUAGAAGAAAAGGGAUUCCAAAGAAUAAAACAAAGGAGAAAAGAGAAGCCACGUGACAAAAAAAAAAUUCAUAAGACAGCAGGAAAAUGCAAGAGAUCCAUAACAUCCUGAAGUGUAGGAUCAACCUGCCUCUCAAAGGAGAACAGGUAAAUUAGUCCCAUUAGCAAUUUUAGAAAUUCCCUCCUCUCUUUCCUCUAAUGGAUAUACAUUUUUAAUUUUUUUUUUUCAGCUUCAAAUAGCUCAUGAACUUUUCACCUUGCCAUCUUUCCCAAGCCAGAAUUUCUGCCUGCUUCCAUCACCAGCAACCCGAAGACAGAUGUCACAGCAAUUCUGGAGCUAGUCUGUCCUUUCUUGAAACUUCCAAACAAGGGGUCAGCUAAGAUCACUGUCAGAUAUCGGCUCUGCCUCUGGCACAGAGGAAGGACCACAACUCCCUCCGAUGAGACUCACCUCACUGCCCCACCGGGAAAAGGCUCUUUUCAGGCUGGAAGUCAACAGCAUCAUGGGCAAGGAGUUGACAGCUGAACAGAAAAGGAGACAAUAGUUGCUUCAGAAGAGCAGGCCAGCGCCUGAGAAAGAGGCCGGCCCACUGAUGAGUGGAACCAUCCCUAUGCCACAGGCCAAGGGAAGGACGGGGUGCUUUCCGCAAAGAUGCAUUGUGUUCAGUUCCCAAAGCCAAGACCUGUUUGCCCAAGCCUGGUGCCCCGCAGUCACGGCCUGAGGAAGGUCUUCUGUAAGUCAGCAAGUCCAUCCUUCUGCUUUCCUGAAGGUUCCUACUACAAGGUGCCAAACCAGAAGUGCUAUUAGAACUGGCUGGGGCUCAACAGGAGAGAGAAUGAGAGGGAAGCCAGAGAGAGAAAGGAUAGACCAAUGUCACAUUCCCCUUCAGCAACGACACUGCCUAUUAACAUGGACUCAUCAAGCAUCUCAUGAACAUCAUCUGCCACAUAAAUAAUGGAUAAU
rnacentral:lncRNA from 1 species